GGUGCCGUGAAUAUUUUCUUUUUACCUGUUCAGACAAUGCUCGCCCACUCUUUUUUUUUGUUCGAAUGAGCCUUUGGCUUACUGCGCGCCAGAUAAGUCAAUAACGAACCUUUGGCUUACUCUUUUUUUUUCAUGAGCCUUUGGCUUACUGCGCGCCAGAUAAGUCAAUAACGAACCUUUGGCUUACUCUUUUUUUUUCAUGAGCCUUUGGCUUACUUCAUCUUGUCUGAUUGUCUAUAAUGAGGCUUUCGCUCACGUUUUAGAUAUGGGUAGGUUGGUAUGUAAGUUCACUUGGUGGAUUUCAUUUUCUGAAAAAAAAUGAAAUAUGAUAUAAAAAAAUGCUGUAACUUCAGAAUAUGAUGCUCCGAAGUUAAGCAAACUCAAAAUAUGUGCUAUGCUUGACUAGUUCGGUGCAAGUUCAGAUAUGGAGUACACUAGACCAAACUAUGAAUUAUCUCUUCCUUGAUGUGGAAAAUAGAUGCUAACGCUAAUAAAAGGAAGGGUAUAGUUAAUGGAAAUUUUUGCCAGCCCCGUGUUAGCUCAAACCGUUUCCAACCAGCCUAGUUCGCAUUAGGGACUGUUUGAUAUGCAUUAGGAUCGAGUGGUGAUGUGAGUUUGAGUGAAAGACUUUUAAAAUAUUUUGUGAAAUGCUAACUUGGAAUUAAAGGUGGUGGUCAUAGUACGGGGGUUACCGUGUCACGAGGCUCACAGAAGAGGAGACGUUAAAAAUUAGGGCCUUGUUUAGUUCGCAAAAAUUUUCAAGAUUAUCCGUCACAUUGAAUCUUUGGUCGUAUACAUAAAGCAUUAAACAUAGACGAAAAUAAAAACUAAUUACACAGUUUACCUGUAAUUUGUGAGAUAAAUCUUUUGAGCCAAGUUACUCCGUG
rnacentral:lncRNA from 1 species